UCAAUGUAAUCCUGUCUAUCGCACAGUCGGCCGACAUGGCGACCAUGAAGAAGCUUCUCGCUGGAGAAACCAGCAUCUGAACUCAAUUUGGUUCCACAGAAGCAGCUUGAACUGCGUCUGGAAGUGGAUAUAAAAUAUUUUGUCAAUUGGGAAAUAUACACGGGAAUUGUCCACAGUUUUAAGACAGGGCUGGAUGGUAGCAGGACAGACCACCAUGGUGGAGCCCAAGCCCAGAGCAUCAGCAGCCCAGCGUCUUGAAGCCCAGGAGACUCUGGGUAUCAGCACCCUGGACCCUGGCCACAGGCCGCCCACCAUGCCCCCCGGACGUCAUGUCACCAUCAAGGUCCGCAUGUUGGACGACACAGAGGAGGUCUUUGACAUCUCACAAAGAGCCUCAGGCAAGGUUUUGUUUGACCUGGUGUGUACCCACCUGAACCUCGUUGAGGGAGACUACUUCGGCCUAGAAUACCAAGACCACAAGAUGAUGGUUUGGUUAGACCUCCUAAAGCCUAUUGUCAAGCAACUGAGACGGCCCAAGCAGGUAGUCCUGAGAUUUGUGGUGAAGUUCUUCCCCCCAGACCACGCCCAGCUACUGGAGGAAUUGACCAGGUACCUCUUCGCCCUGCAGAUCAAGCAUGACCUUGCCUGUGGACGUCUGACCUGCAACGACAGUAGCGCGGCCCUGCUGGUCUCCCAUAUUAUCCAGUCUGAGAUUGGGGACUUUGAGGAGAGUCAGAGUCGGCAGCACCUCCUCAACAACAGCUACAUUCCUGACCAGAUGGCUCUGAUGGACAAGAUCAUGGAGUUUCACUCCAAUAAUGGGGGUCAGACGCCAGCAGAGUCGGACUACCAGCUGCUGGAGGUGGUAUGCAGACUGGAGCUGUACGGGGUUAGACUACACCCUGCCAAGGACCGCGAGGGCAGCAAGCUGAGCCUGGCCGUGGCUCACACUGGUGUCCUGGUCUUUCAGGGACACACCAAGAUCAAUGCCUUCAACUGGUCCAACGUGCGCAAAUUAAGCUUCAAGAGAAAGCGUUUUCUCAUCAAGCUCAGACCAAACCUGAACCAGAGCUCAUACCAGGACACUCUGGAGUUCCUGAUGGGUAGCCGAGACUGCUGUAAAGUCUUCUGGAAGAUCUGUGUGGAAUACCAUGCCUUCUUCAGCCUCUUUGAGGAGCCCAAAGCAAGGCCCAAGCCGGUCCUCUUCACCCGAGGCUCCUCCUUCAGAUUCAGCGGUCGGACACAGAAGCAGGUGAUUGAUUAUGUGAAGGACUCUGAGUUUAAGAAGAUCCCGUUUGAAAGGAAACACAGUAGGGUCCAGCACAGCAGAAGCCGUCCAUCUCCGCUGUCUUCCCCUCACGCCCCUCAAGUGCCAAAAGAAAGUGUGAGCGGUGCUCCAGGAGACAGAGCGGAGGUGGACUCUCCGCCCCACCGUCACUGGAAGGAGUCUGUGAACGCUGAGGACCCUUCAGCCCUGCGGAUCAGAGGCAGCCCUUCCAUCCAGAGGAACGUGGGACACGGCGAGGACAGGCCAGGUCCUGGGGCAGAACCAGGCCCAGCCAGGCAGCCCCACCCAGACCAUCUGAACACAGGGGUGGUGUCCAACAGCCCUCAUCUCUCCGCCUCCUCCGUUAACUCCCAGGCCAUUGUCAACGGUCAGAAGCCGGUCGAACUCUGUGGUCACAGUCCGGACGUUCGGCAGCCCUCUCCCCUCACCAGUCCCUUGCUCAACGACGCCGGCAGUGUGCGCACCGACGAUGAAGACGAGGUUCGGAGGAAGAGGUUCCCUACCGACAAGGCCUACUUUAUCGCCAAGGAGCUGCUGACCACAGAGAGGACCUAUCUGAAGGACCUGGAGGUGGUGACGGUGUCUUUUCAGGACUCGGUGGGUAAAGACGAAGCCGUGCCGGACUCCCUGAAGAGCACCAUCUUCACCAACUUUGCCCCUCUGUACAGGUUUCAGUCCGUCUUCCUCAGAGAGGUGGAGCAGAGACUGGCUCUAUGGGAAGGGUGCUCCAAUGCCCACAUCAAAGGAGACUACCAGCGCAUCGGGGAUGUCAUGCUGAAGCACCUACAGGGACUGAAGCCACUGACAGCCCACCUCCAGAAGCACUCGGAGGCCCUGGUGGAGCUGGAGAAGGCGUGCCGGGGUUCCCCGCGGCUGGAGGUGCUGGUCCGGGACUUUGAGCUGCAGAAGGUGUGCUACAUCCCCCUCAACGUGUUCAUCCUCCGGCCCCUGCACCGCCUCAUGCAUUACAAGCAGAUCCUGGAGCGCCUCUGCAAACACUACCCGCCUGCACAUGUGGACUUCAGGGACUGCAGAGCUGCACUGGCAGACGUGUCAGAGGUGGUGUCCCAGCUCCAUGGAAGCAUGAUCAAGAUGGAGAACUUCCAGAAGCUGUUGGAGCUUAUGAAGGAUUUGAUUGGCAUCGACAAUCUAGUCACUCCAGGGCGGGAGUUCCUAAGGUUAGGCUGUCUCAGUAAGCUGUCUGGAAAAGGCCUCCAGCAACGAAUGUUCUUCCUGUUCAAUGAUGUCCUGUUGUAUACGAGUCGAGGGAUGACGGCAACGAACCAGUUCAAAGUGCACGGGCAGCUCCCUCUCUAUGGCAUGACAAUCCGGGAGAGCGAGGAUGAGUGGGGUGUGCCUCACGCCUUCACCCUGGUUGGGCAGCGCCAGUCAGUAGUGGUAGCAGCAAGUUCACUGUCAGAGAUGGAGAAGUGGAUGGAGGACAUUAAUAUGGCCAUUAUCCUGGCGGAGAGCAUCAACGGUCCUACGUCUGACUGGCUGGCCAGCAGUCUGACAGAUAACAGUAAGUUGGCUACACUAGAGCUUGGGCAUUGGGCACACUGUAUAGGAACACUAAUAGUGUAUCCGACAAUCAUCCAACUCCACGAGUUAUUGCUGAAUUCUCCCUCUUACUGGUCCUCUUUGCACAGACAGUUCAUCCUCUUCUAGAAACUCCAGAGCCAGAAUGGGCCAACCUUUAAAUCUGCAUAGAGCUUCAAUAGCUAAAAUACAAUGCUCCAAAUGUAUGGUUUAUAAAUCAUUGAUUUGAAGGAUGUUCCUUUUUUUAUCCAGCCUGUCUACAUGUCUGUACUCACAAACAUAGCCACUGUGAAGUAGUGUGCUACUGUUGAUCUCGUCUGGUUUUACAGUAGGAUCCAACUUCCCAGGUUGUUAUAGUGUGUAUCUUGGAAGUAACCGCUUCCUGAAUUUCCCAGAAUCCCUAACGGAGGACUCCUGUGCAGAGGCGGAGUCUGAGGACGACCUGAUGGCGUCGCGCACCUCCCUGGAGAGGCAGGCCCCUCACCGUGGUAACACCACGGUGCACGUGUGCUGGCACAGGAACACCAGCGUGUCCAUGGUGGACUUUAGCGUAGCCGUGGAGGUACCAAAACCAGAACCAGCCCUAACCUGUCCUGCUCUGGCUUCCCCAGUCUCUCUGUCUCUCUGUCUGUCUGUGUAUCUACAGUGGGGCAAAAAGGUAUUUAGUCAGCCACCAAUUGUGCAAGUUCUCCCACUUAAAAAGAUGAGAGAGGCCUGUAAUUUUCAUCAUAGGUACACUUCAACUAUGACAGACAAAAUUAGAAAAUAAAUCCAGAAAAUCACAUUGUAGGAUUUUUUAUGAAUUUAUUUGCAAAUUAUGGUGGAAAAUAAAUAUUUGGUCACCUACAAACAAGCAAGAUUUCUGGCUCUCACAGACCUGUAACUUCUUCUUUAAGAGGCUCCUCUGUCCUCCACUCGUUACCUGUAUUAAUGGCACCUGUUUGAACUUGUUAUCAGUAUAAAAGACACCUGUCCACAACCUCAAACAGUCACACUCCAAACUCCACUAUGGCCAAGACCAAAGAGCUGUCAAAGGACACCAGAAACAAAAUUGUAGACCUGCACCAGGCUGGGAAGACUGAAUCUGCAAUAGGUAAGCAGCUUGGUUUGAAGAAAUCAACUGUGGGAGCAAUUAUUAGGAAAUGGAAGACAUACAAGACCACUGAUAAUCUCCCUCGAUCUGGGGCUCCACGCAAGAUCUCACCCCGUGGGGUCAAAAUGAUCACAAGAACGGUGAGCAAAAAUCCCAGAACCACACGGGGGGACCUAGUGAAUGACCUGCAGAGAGCUGGGACCAAAGUAACAAAGCCUACCAUCAGUAACACACUACGCCGCCAGGGACUCAAAUCCUGCAGUGCCAGACGUGUCCCCCUGCUUAAGCCAGUACAUGUCCAGGCCCAUCUGAAGUUUGCUAGAGAGCAUUUGGAUGAUCCAGAAGAAGAUUGGGAGAAUGUCAUAUGGUCAGAUGAAACCAAAAUAUAACUUUUUGGUAAAAACUCAACUCGCCGUGUUUGGAGGACAAAGAAUGCUGAGUUGCAUCCAACCAUCCAACCAUACCUACUGUGAAGCAUGGGGGUGGAAACAUCAUGCUUUGGGGCUGUUUUUCAGCAAAGGGACAAGGACAACUGAUCCGUGUAAAGGAAAGAAUGAAUGGGGCCAUGUAUGGUGAGAUUUUGAGUGAAAACCUCCUUCCAUCAGCAAGGGCACUGAAGAUGAAACGUGGCUGGAUCUUUCAGCAUGACAGUGAUCCCAAACACACGCCCGGGCAACGAAGGAGUGGCUUCAUAAGAAGCAUCUCAAGGUCCUGGAGUGGCCAAGCCAGUCUCCAGAUCUCAACCCCAUAGAAAAUCUUUGGAGGGAGUUGGAAGUCCGUGUUGCCCAGCAACAGCCCCAAAACAUCACUGCUCUAGAGGAGAUCUGCAUGGAGGAAUGGGCCAAAAUACCAGCAACAGUGUGUGAAAACCUUGUGAAGACGUACAGAAAACGUGAUUUUCUGGAUUUUUUUUCUCAUUUUGUCUGUCAUAGUUGAAGUGUACCUAUGAUGAAAAUUACAGGCCUCUCUCAUCUUUUUAAGUGGGAGAACUUGCACAAUUGGUGGCUGACUAAAUACUUUUUUGCCCCACUGUAUAUCUGAGUGUGUUUCCUCACCUGGGAACAGUGUCCUCCUUAGCAACUCCCUCUCUGUUAUGGUGUUAUUUGGACAUUAUAUUACCUCAGUGAUUUGUCUCUACGCUGUUCGUACUCUCACUUCUGUCAACUGCUACGUAUGCCCCUUUGGAUCUCACCAGGAAGGGGAAGUAGUACUGUUGUUUGUCAUAGAUUUAAACAGCAGCUCUGAGUGCAGCUGAAGCAGCUUCUACAAGCUCUUUUGUUUUCUUUGUUGAAUUCUGAGCUGAGAGCAGAGCAGACAUUAGCAGGAGGUGGGUGAACUGCAAAGGACACUGUUCUCAAAUCAGCCCUCUAUUGCGAACUCUUUCCAGGGUGGUUUCCUCAUCUUAUCUCUAUUGCGAACUCUUUCCAGGGUGGUUUCCUCAUCUUAUCUCUAUUUCUAACUCUUUCCAGGGUGGUUGUGCACUCCUUUCUUCCCUUCUUCACAGCCGUGGACUCACCGUUAGCUCCUCUUGUGUAUGUGUGUGUUUACACUCAGUCUUUGUGUCUCUGUCCUUCCCUCCCUCUCUCUCUCUCUUUUCUCUCUCUCUCUCUCUCUCGCUCUCUUCUGUGUGUCCGUCGGCCUGUCCUCCGUGCUAGAGGAGCCUAGUCCAGUCAGUGACUCAGAGGCCUCCCUCGCGGGGCCCAGCAGUGGCCAGGGCCCAGUGCCUCUGUCUCUUAUUUGCUGGUAUCGAGUUCACAGCCUCUCCUUUAGUGAUUCCUGCAGGAGUCUAGAGAAUCAGCUGUCAGGAAACCUGCUGAGGAAGUUCAAGAACAGCAACGGCUGGCAGAAACUCUGGGUGGUCUUCACCAACUUCAGCCUGUUCUUCUACAAAACCCACGAGGAUGACUAUCCACUGGCCAGUCUCCCCCUGUUGGGCUACUCUGUCACCAUCCCCACUGAGUCUGAAAACAUCCACAAAGACUAUGUCUUCAAACUGCAUUUCAAAUCCCACGUCUACUACUUCAGAUCUGAGAGCGAGUACAACUUUGACAGGUGGAUGGAGGUCAUUCGCAGCGCCACAGUCUCUGCCAGCCAUAACCGCAUUCUGAGCCGGAAAGAGUCCCAUCCGUACUGACCCAAAGAGCAGCGGGGAUUCUCUCCCUGUCUCCCCGUGCCUCUUCUCCUCACCACAACCUCCCCCAUAGGGUCUGGCCACAUACAGCCUCUCUUCACACUACGACUCCCUCAAGCAGCAAGCUGGCACCACACAUUCACUUGUCUGGAAUCUGUUGAUUUCCUUUUCUCCAUGGAUCUGGGACGUGUGACCAUUAACAGUGUCCAUGCACAAUCUUGGUGCUUAUUGAUGCGGUGACGUGUCCGCUGGUUUAGACUGCAAACAGAGACAGACAUUUUCAGCAUCUUUUUUUAUACUCUGCUCUGAAUCUCUCUUUUUUUUGUAGGAUGUCAUUUUAUACUGUUUUCUAACGGAGCACAUACUAUACUUCUGUUUUCACAUUCUGUCAUUGGAUCGUUUUAUGGUGGAAACUGAUUCUGCUGUUGUUGUUGUUUUUUUAAAACCUGUUUUUAAUUUAGGAUAUCACUGCAUCCUCAAGGUCUUUUGUCUCCUUGUUCAUUUAAUGGGGGGAAAACGAAACAAAAAAAGCUGUUUUGAAAUCCAACAGCUUGAGUGUCAAAACAGGUCUACCAUUGUCCUAGAUUUUACACUGCAAAUGUCAAAACAGGUCUACCAUUGUCCUAGAUUUUACACUGCAUUUAUAUUACGUCAGUGGGGAGGAGACUUAAAAUGUGUCGUUAAACAGGCCACAUUAAAAUACUUUAAAAAAUAUAUAUAAAUAUAUAUCAAUAUAAGAUGUCUCUGGAGAAUGUGAGUAACCUUGUGAAAACAUGGAUGAUCAGUAAAGAUAUCCAACUAUGUAGUUGUACUAUUGACAUAACUCUAAAACUACUUUGAAAACGAUCAGGUUAGUUACCAUCACCACUAACGCCAUUAUUCGCCAAGCAUAGUGAAUAUUUAUCUUACAUGAGGAUCUUUGUCGUGUGGAUACCGCUGAGGGUUUUCUGAAUAAUAUUAUAUUUCAAAUGUAAUAGUGUGAGACAUGAUCACAAUCUGUGUAUUAUGAAGGACACUGUAAUGGAAAGCUUUAAAGAAUAUGCGCGAACCAAAAUAUCAACUUUCAGUUCCAAGCACCAUUGCCCUUGUUGGACUAGGCUGCCCAUAUGUAAGAGACAUUUGGGAAUUGAAAUGAAAUGGAUAUAUGCAUAUGACAGACAGGGUUUAUGAAGUGUAGCAUUCCAGAGGGUAUUGGGGGUGUGCUGCCAGACAACAGAGAAAGCUCUUAUUGAAAGCAAUAAAAAAUAAACAUUUAUUUGAACAUUG